GAUGAACGCUAGCGACAGGCCUAACACAUGCAAGUCGAGGGGCAGCACAAGGAGCAAUCCAAGGUGGCGACCGGCGCACGGGUGAGUAACACGUAUGCAACCUGGCCGUAAUCGGGGGAUAGCCUCCUGAAAGGGAGAUUAACACCCCAUGAGACCGCCGUAUCGCAUGAUAUGGAGGUUAAAUGCGAAGAUAACGGAUGGGCAUGCGCAUGAUUAGUUAGUUGGCGGGGUAAAGGCCCACCAAGGCGACGAUCAUUAGGGGUUCUGAGAGGGAGGUCCCCCACACUGGUACUGAGACACGGACCAGACUCCUACGGGAGGCAGCAGUGAGGAAUAUUGGUCAAUGGUCGAGAGACUGAACCAGCCAUGUCGCGUGCAGGAAUACGGCCCUAUGGGUUUUAAACUGCUUUUAUACGAGGGUAAAAUGCACCACGUGUGGUGUAUUGCAAGUAUCGUAAGAAAAAGGAUCGGCUAACUCCGUGCCAGCAGCCGCGGUAAUACGGAGGAUCCGAGCGUUAUCCGGAUUUAUUGGGUUUAAAGGGUGCGUAGGCGGACUUUUAAGUCAGCGGUGAAAGUUAUCAGCUUAACUGAUGAAAUGCCGUUGAAACUGAGAGACUAGAGUGUAGUGGAAGUAUGCGGAAUGUGUAGUGUAGGGUGAAAUGCAUAGAUAUUACUAGGAACCCAAUUGCGAAGGCAGCUUAAUAAGGUAUAACUGACGCUGAUGCACGAAAGUGUGGGUAUCAAACAGGAUUAGAUACCCUGGUAGUCCACACAGUAAACGAUGAAUACUAGUUGUUUGCGAUAUACCGUAAGUAACACAGCGAAAGCGUUAAGUAUCCACCUGGGGAGUACGUUCGCAAGAAUGAAACUCAAAGGAAUUGACGGGGGCCCGCACAAGCGGAGGAACAUGUGGUUUAAUUCGAUGAUACGCGAGGAACCUUACCCGGGCUCGAACGGUGUCUGAAUGAUUAUGAAAGUAGUCAGGCCGCAAGGACAGAUAUCGAGGUGCUGCAUGGUUGUCGUCAGCUCGUGCCGUGAGGUGUCGGCUUAAGUGCCAUAACGAGCGCAACCCCUAUCUUUAGUUACCAUCAGGUCGCGCUGGGGACUCUAGAGAGACUGCCACCGUAAGGUGUGAGGAAGGUGGGGAUGACGUCAAAUCAGCACGGCCCUUACGUCCGGGGCGACACACGUGUUACAAUGGGUGGGACAGCAGGUUGCUACUUAGUGAUAAGAUGCUAAUCCUUCAAACCCACUCCCAGUUCGGAUCGGAGUCUGCAACUCGACUCCGUGAAGCUGGAUUCGCUAGUAAUCGCGCAUCAGCCAUGGCGCGGUGAAUACGUUCCCGGGCCUUGUACACACCGCCCGUCAAGCCAUGGAAGCCGGGGGUACCUGAAGUUCGUAACCGUCAAGGAUCGACCUAAGGUAAAACUGGUAACUGGGGCU
rnacentral:rRNA from 1 species